AGCGAACGCUGGCGGCAGGCCUAACACAUGCAAGUCGAACGAAGUCUUCGGACUUAGUGGCGGACGGGUGAGUAACACGUGGGAACGUGCCUUUAGGUUCGGAAUAACUCAGGGAAACUUGUGAUAAUACCGAAUGUGCCCUUCGGGGGAAAGAUUUAUCGGCUUUAGAGCGGCCCGCGUCUGAUUAGCUAGUUGGUGAGGUAAAGGCUCACCAAGGCUACGAUCAGUAGCUGGUCUGAGAGGAUGACCAGCCACAUUGGGACUGAGACACGGCCCAAACUACUACGGGAGGCAGCAGUGGGGAAUCUUGCGCAAUGGGCGAAAGCCUGACGCAGCCAUGCCGCGUGGAUGAUGAAGGUCUUAGGAUUGUAAAAUCCUUUCACCGGUGAAGAUAAUGACUGUAGCCGGAGAAGAAGCCCCGGCUAACUUCGUGCCAGCCGCCGCCGUAAUAC
rnacentral:rRNA from 1 species